UUUUGUAUCAUGUGAGAAUCUUCUUAGUGAGACUAUCGAAUAUAGAGAAAAUAUUGAUCAAAAGAUAUCAUAUAUUUUUGUCUUAAGACUUGUCUUGCGACUUACAGUUUUAACACUCUAAGUGCAAAUCACGUAUGAUUGAACGAUAAGGAAUAUGAAAAUUUUCCUUCUUAAAAAGAACUUGUCUUCCCGGUUUUCUAAAAGAAAACACUCCAGCCUGACUAUGAACAACCGUUUGAUUCUCAUCUUUAUUUGUUGUUACUUUCUAAUUGGCGUCGUCUUGUGCGAUGAUCAAGGUAGUGGUGGUAUG